CAACUUCAAAAUUAAAACCACCCACUGAAAACCACCACCAAAAGUCACCAAAAUUACACACUGAAAACCACCCACCAAUCAUAUGCACCAAAACUCCGUUGUCGAUGUAACUUUCUUUCUUUCUUUCUUUCUUUUCUUUUCUCCCUCUCCCG
rnacentral:ribozyme from 1 species